UACGGAGGAUCCUAGCGUUAUCCGGAUUUACUGGGUUUAAAGGGUGCGUAGGCGGGCGCUUAAGUCCGCGGUGAAAGUCUGCGGCUCAACCGUAGGAUUGCCGUGGAUACUGGGCGUCUUGGAUUCGGUCGGGGCGGGCGGAAUGCGUGGUGUAGCGGUGAAAUGCAUAGAUAUCACGCAGAACGCCGAUAGCGAAGGCAGCUCGCCGGGCCGACAUCGACGCUGAGGCACGAAAGCGUGGGGAU
rnacentral:rRNA from 1 species